AGGAAUUUUUCUAGUUGGAACACCCCUUCAGCCAUGGCUCUUCAUUUGAGAAACAUGGAUGAAGAAUUGCAUUGUGAGUUUUUCCAUGUCAUCUUCACCUGGAGAAGCAAAGCAGAGCCAUUUGCAGAUCAGUUGUGAAGCUUUUUCUCCUUUGCAAGUUCAUCAUUUCAAGCACAGAAGCUGCAAGAUUUCUUGAAAACACUGAGGACACAUGGAAGCACAUCAGCAAGUGUGACUGGCUAAGUCACAGCUGACAUUGCCAUAGGAAGAUUGGACGUGUGGGGUGGAUUAUAGAAUGUGUCUGAUCAUGGUGCACCCUCAUAACCAAUGCAUGUGAUGGUGAAGAGCAGGUGAUGAGUUGUAAACGUGUGUUUCCUCUUAACUGUGGAGAUGAGACGGAUUGGCACAGGAGACUUUAGAAAAAAGAAA